UACAGAGGGUGCAAGCGUUGUUCGGAAUUACUGGGCGUAAAGCGCGUGUAGGCGGCGGCGUAAGUCGGAUGUGAAAGCCCUCGGCUUAACCGAGGAAGUGCAUUCGAUACUGUGUCGCUUGAGUACCGGAGGGGAUGGCGGAAUUCCCGGUGUAGAGGUGAAAUUCGUAGAUAUCGGGAGGAACACCUGUGGCGAAGGCGGCCAUCUGGACGGUGACUGACGCUGAGACGCGAAAGCGUGGGGAGCGAACAGG
rnacentral:rRNA from 1 species